ACCAUUGAGAAUGUCAAGGCAAAGAUCCAAGACAAGGAAGGCAUCCCCCUGAUCAGCAGAGGCUGAUCUUUGCCGGGAAGCAGCUGGAAGAUGGGCGCACCCUGUCCGACUACAACAUCCAGAAGGAGUCCACCCUGCACCUGGUGCUCCGUCUGAGAGGUGGGAUGCAGAUCUUUGUGAAGACCCUGACCGGCAAGACCAUCACCCUCGAGGUUGAGCCCAGUGAUACCAUUGAGAAUGUCAAGGCAAAGAUCCAAGACAAGGAAGGCAUUCCCCCUGAUCCGCAGAGGCUGAUCUUUGCUGGGAAGCAGCUGGAAGAUGGGCGCACCCUCUCUGACUACAACAUCCAGAAAGAGUCCACCAUGCACUUGGUCCUGCGCUUGAGGGGAGGUGUCUAAGUUUAAGCUUUCAACAAAUUUCAUUGCACUUUUCUUUCAGUAAAGUUGUUGCAUUCC